AUCUGGUGGUGCGGGCAACUGGCAUAUAGCUUCUUAAAUCUCUCCCAGUAUUCAUAUAAGUUCUCUCCACUGAGUUUUCUAAUGCCUGAAAUAUCCUUUCUGAUGGU
rnacentral:snoRNA from 1 species